rnacentral:rRNA from 1 species
UACGUAGGGGGCAAGCGUUGUCCGGAUUUAUUGGGCGUAAAGAGCGUGUAGGCGGCCAUGUAGGUCCGUUGUGAAAACUCGAGGCUCAACCUCGAGACGCCGAUGGAAACCAUAUGGCUAGAGUCCGGAAGAGGAGAGUGGAAUUCCUGGUGUAGCGGUGAAAUGCGCAGAUAUCGGAAGGAACAUCAGUGGCGAAAGCGACUUCCUGGACCAGUACCGACGUUCAGGCACGAAAGCGUGGGGAGCAAACAGG